CAAAAAAGUAAUAGAGAUUGUUGUCCAGAAGGAUAGCAUGGACUUCAUCUUCAAGUCAAGCUCCCUGGUGCCAGAGGACACGAUGAAGAUGGAUCUCGGCAUAAGAUAAGCCUCUGAAGGCCACCUCCUCUGCGUUCUCGCCUGUCAUUAUAGAAGAGGCUUUCUCCCACAGGCCGGUCAGCUUAAGGUGCGGUGACUUCCUGUGACUUCGCUCCUGGUUUCCUGGCAACCUCACUGUGACGAGGAACCUUGAGCCUUAAGGAAGUUGUUUAGCCAACUAACAUUCUGCUGGCCUUAUGUUUAAAGCAAAUAUAUCUAUUACAAGGCAUUACUGAUUCCGGAGCUAUGCGAGUGGGCGUGACAGGCACCUGGCAUCAAUGUCCCAACACUGUACUGGAAUGAUAUCACACAAAUGGGCGGGCUGAUUGGGCCCCUGAAGGGUGAAUCCCGGAGAAGGCCACAGCGAGGUCACCAUGACAGCACUAUGCAAAUACAGGAGACAAAGUUUCACCGUGGAAUUGCAAUCAGCCAGCCUGUGUUGAUUAAAGUGACAUAUUUGUUUUUGUAUGGGGAUUCCAGCAAAUGAAAUGGCCUCAUUAAACGGAGGUCUGUGUAGAGCUAUCAGGGGAGAGGGAGUGAUGGGGAAAAGAGACAGAGAGAGAGAACAUUCCGUGUUCUUUAAUGAAACAUCUCAGCAUAACACAGAAAUGGUUUGAGUGGCAGGCUGCUUGUCAAUUCAAAUGUUCAGACAAUUCCACUGGUGUGAAUGAAUGGGAGCCAAUUUCCGCUUCAAAUAUACUGUUAUGCUAUUAUAUAUUUUUCUUAUUGUCAACCGAUACAAUCAAAUCAAUCCAAAAUGAAGAUAUUUAACUAACUACUAAUGUGUGUAUCUUAUUCCUCUGUAAUAUGCAAUAGAGCUCCGUUGUUCAGCAGCCAAAAACUAUUAAAACCACAUUGAUGAGCCUC